rnacentral:rRNA from 1 species
AUUGAACGCUGGCGGCAGGCCUAACACAUGCAAGUCGAGCGCGAAAGUCUUCGGAUGAGUAAAGCGGCGAACGGGUGAGUAAUGCAUGGGAAUCUGCCUGGUAGUGGGGGACAACGUCUCGAAAGGGACGCUAAUACCGCAUACGCCCUACGGGGAAGGGGGGAGUCUUCGGACCUCUCGCUAUCAGAUGAGCCCAUGUCAGAUUAGCUAGUUGGUGAGGUAAAGGCUCACCAAGGCGACGAUCUGUAACUGGUCUGAGAGGAUGAUCAGUCACACUGGAGCUGAGACACGGCCCAGACUCCUACGGGAGGCAGCAGUGGGGAAUAUUGGACAAUGGGCGAAAGCCUGAUCCAGCAAUGCGCGUGAGUGAUGAAGGCCUUAGGGUUGUAAAGCUCUUUUACCCGGGAUGAUAAUGACAGUACCGGGAGAAUAAGCCCCGGCUAACUCCGUGCCAGCAGCCGCGGUAAU